GAAGGAACGUUAAAGACGAUGACGUUGAUAGGCCGGGUGUGUAAGCGCAGCGAUGCGUUGAGCUAACCGGUACUAAUGAACCGUGAGGCUUAACCUUACAACGCCGAAG
rnacentral:rRNA from 1 species